CCUGAACGCUGGCGGCGUGGCUAAGACAUGCAAGUCGAACGGGUGUAGCAAUACACCAGUGGCGGACGGGUCAGUAAUGAAUCGCUAAUGUACCUUGGAGCCAGGGAUAGCCAGCCGAAAGGCUGGGUAAUACCUGAUGAGACCACGGCAUCGCAUGAUGCAGUGCUCAAAGCCGCAAGGCACUCUGGGAGCAGGCGAUUUUGAUCAGCUAGUUGGUGAGGUAACGGCUCACCAAGGCGACGACGCAUAGCCGGACUGAGAGGUUGGCCGGCGACAUUGGGACUGAGACACUGCCCAGACUCCUACGGGUGGCAG
rnacentral:rRNA from 1 species